AUGCGUUUUAAUUCUUUAUAUUUGCACUUUUAUGAGCAUAUAAACUUUGCCUGGUUUAGCCUUCACCUGCAAAUAUUUACAGAUUCACAUAACCAUCAUAUAGAAGGCUGCUGUAAUGGCAGAUAUUAAUCAUAGUGUUUAAUGAUAUUAAUCAUAGUGUUUAAUGUAGCAUGUCUAUCAUGGAACUUAUAGCCGAUGGUUCGUCUUAUUGUAGGGUGAUGAUAGCGGCAAUAAUGAUAGUGUUGUGGCACGUACUUUCUUAAUUAGGACAAAAACAGAGG
rnacentral:lncRNA from 1 species